GACGAACGCUGGCGGCGUGCUUAACACAUGCAAGUCGAACGAUUAAGCGGUGCUUGCACCGUGCAUUAGUGGCGAACGGGUGAGUAAUACGUGAGUGACCUACCUUUGACUCUGGGAUAAGCCUGGGAAACUGGGUCUAAUACCGGAUACGACCAAUCUCUGCACGGGGUGUUCGUGGAAAGCGAUAUGGAGUGGUUUUAGUUGGGCUGACGGCCUAUCAGCUUGUUGGUGAGGUAAUGGCUUACCAAGGCGACGACGGGUAGGCGGCCUGGGAGGGUGAACAGGCACCAGGGGACUGAGGGACGGCCCAGACUCCAACGGGAGGCAGCAGUGGAAAGUAUUGCACAAUGGGCGCGAGCCUGAUGCAGCGGCGCCGCGUGAGGGAAAACGGCCUUCGAGUGAUAAACCACUGUUAGAGUCGAAGAAGCGAAAGUGACGGUAGCUGCAGAGAAAGCGCCGGCUAACUACGUG
rnacentral:rRNA from 1 species